CUAUUCUCUAUAUUCACAAGUCAAAGUUUAUUUAGCUAUGUGAAAUCGAAUUUGCAAUAAUUAUAAUUUAUAACUGAAAUAUUUCUGAUCGUUGUCAGGUGUAUCAGCAAAUAUAAAUGUUAAAUGGGAGAGUAACAAUGAAGUGUAUUUGGGAAUUUAAAUGAAUUAAAAAGGUUAUAAGUUUCAGUGUUUGUUAGUAAUAAAAAAUCAGUCGCAAUGAUGAAAAGUACGUUGCCUAAAGAUAAACCUGGCAAGAUGAGGAUCAGGGCCUUUCCCAUGACUAUGGAUGAAAAGUAUGUGGAGAGUAUAUGGAGUUUAUUAAAAAAUGCAAUACAGGAAAUUCAAAAGAAAAACAAUUCAGGCCUUUCAUUUGAAGAGUUGUACCGAAAUGCAUAUACAAUGGUACUUCAUAAGCAUGGUGAAAGAUUGUACACUGGUCUGAAGGAAGUGGUCACUCAUCACCUUGAAACCAAGGUCCGAGAAGAUGUUCUACACUCAUUACAUAAUGGAUUCCUACAAACUCUCAAUAAUGCUUGGACAGAUCAUCAAACAAGCAUGGUCAUGAUUAGAGAUAUACUGAUGUACAUGGACAGAGUAUAUGUACAGCAGAACGAUGUUGAUAAUGUUUAUAAUCUAGGGCUCAUUAUAUUUAGAGAUCAGGUGGUGCGAUACGGUUGCAUUAGAGACCACUUGCGGCAAACAUUGCUAGAACUGGUGGCGCGUGAGCGACGAGGGGAGGUAGUGGAUCGUCUCGCUAUCAGGAACGCCUGCCAAAUGCUCAUGGUACUAGGCAUCAACUCUCGAGCUGUCUACGAGGAGGACUUUGAAAAACCUUUUCUACAUCAGUCUGCCGAGUUUUAUCGGAUGGAAUCUCAGAAGUUCUUGGCGGAGAACAGCGCGGCGGUGUACAUAGCGCGCGUGGAGGCGCGCAUCAGCGAGGAGGCGGAGCGCGCGCGGCACUACCUCGACGAGAGCACGGAGCCGCGCGUCGUGGCCGUGCUCGAGCACGAGCUCAUCGAGCGACACAUGAAGACCAUUGUCGAGAUGGAGAACUCGGGCGUAGUGCACAUGUUACUCCACACGCGUACAGUGGAGCUGGCGUGCGUGUACAAGCUGCUGUCGCGCGUGGCGGAGGGGCUGCGCACGGUCGCGGACGCGGUGUCGGCGCACCUGCGGGAGCAGGGACGUGCGCUUGUUACAGAUACGCACCACAAUACCAACGCUAUUGCGUAUGUGCAGAACCUUCUGGAUCUGAAAGAUAGAUUUGAUCAUUUCCUUCACAACUCAUUCAACAAUGAUAAAAUAUUCAAACAUAUGAUCGCAUCAGACUUCGAAUAUUUCCUUAAUCUAAACAACAAGUCACCUGAAUUCCUUUCACUGUUUAUUGACGGAAAAUUAAAGAAAGGCGAAAAAGGCAUGAGUGAGCAAGAAAUCGAAGCAGUCUUAGAUAAAACAAUGGUGCUCUUCCGUUUCCUGCAAGAAAAAGAUGUGUUUGAGCGUUACUAUAAACAGCAUCUUGCCAAACGUCUUCUCUUAAAUAAAUCUGUAUCUGAUGACAGCGAGAAAAAUAUGAUCUCUAAAUUAAAGACUGAAUGCGGUUGUCAGUUUACGUCAAAGCUGGAGGGUAUGUUCAAGGACAUGACAGUGUCCAACACCAUCAUGGAGGAGUUCAAGGAGCAUGUGAUAUCAUCCGGGAGCAACUUGCACGGCGUGGACCUAUCGGUGCGUGUGCUAACGACGGGCUUCUGGCCCACACAGAGCGCCACGCCCAAGUGCAACAUUCCCGCUGCACCUAGAAUGGCCUUCGAAGUGUUCCGCAGCUUCUACCUCGCGAAGCACUCUGGCCGGCAGCUGUCGCUGCAGCCGCAGCUGGGCAGCGCGGACCUGCACGCCACGUUCCGCGGCGCGAGCGGCUCCCCGCCCCGCUCCCCGCCGCACGCCGCGCCCGCGCCCGCGCCCGCCCCCCGCCGCCACAUCAUACAAGUGUCCACCUUCCAGAUGUGCGUGCUGCUGCUGUUCAACAAGCGCGACCGGCUCACGUACGAGGAAAUACUCAACGAGACUGACAUACCGGAGAAGGAUUUAGUGCGCGCAUUACAGUCGCUAGCCAUGGGCAAGCCCACGCAGCGAGUGCUGAUCAAACAUCCCAAAACUAAGGAGAUUGAGCCCCCUCACCAGUUCUACGUAAAUGAUGCAUUCACGUCCAAAUUACACAGGGUAAAGAUCCAAACGGUGGCAGCGAAGGGCGAGUCGGAGCCGGAGCGACGCGAGACCCGCAACAAGGUGGACGAGGACCGCAAGCACGAGAUCGAGGCGGCCAUCGUGCGCAUCAUGAAGGCCAGGAAAAAGAUGGCGCACACUCUGCUAGUGGCGGAAGUGACAGAACAGCUGCGCGCGCGUUUCCUCCCCUCGCCCGUAGUGAUCAAGAAGCGCAUCGAGGGGCUCAUCGAGCGCGAGUACCUGGCGCGCACGCCCGACGACCGCAAGGUGUACACCUACGUCGCAUAGGUGCGUAACCGUAACCGUACCCGCACCUGUAACCGUAACCAUAACCUUGCCCGUGACCGUGGUCAACUCGCGCUUGUAAUUUUAACGGCAAACAUGACGGAAAUUUUACAUUACGUGAAAAAUACAAUUAUUAUUUUAAAUUGAAUGUGUUUAUAAGCUGCAUCGUGAAAGAAUAUCAGUGUAAAACAUUAAUAAUAAUUAUUCGUCGACUUGUUGCUCUUAGUAUUAAUGAUAUGAAAAACCUUUUACAUACAAUGGCAUUAAAAUUAUUAUUUUAUGUUAAAUUAUAAUUAUGCUUAAUCAUUCAUCAAGUCAUCGUGAGGACCUAUGCCUUCUCCUGCUCUAUAAAUUACUAAACGUAAUUUAUGUUUCUUUUUCCAUGAUAAAUAAGGUUUUUAAUAUCAAAAACUUAAGACUUUGUACUUUCCAUUUAAUAUUUACGCGGAACUACAAUAUUAUCCAUGAAUGUAAAAAAAAAACAAUUGUAUAUACAAGUAAUAAUGUGGUUUAAUUUGAUCGUUUCGGUACUGUACUAUAAGUGUUCCUCGUGAUUCCCUAGAUUAGUUAUGUUAAAUUAAACUUCUUUUUAUAAAACCAUGUUUCAUUGACUGGUCCCAUUACUAAAAAUUCCUCAGUAAAAUCCACAAUUGGCUUUCAUUUUUCAGGCCAACAGUUUCGAGACCAUAAAGCUCUCGAUGAGUGGACGCCAAGUUAAAGUGAUAGAAGUAACGAGAGUAUUUAAAUUAUUGCUAAAUAAAAAUUAUUAGUUAAUAUGAAAUGUUUAUUUUAUUGCCUUUAAAUAAGUCGAAUGAUACAUGGAAAUAAUACAAAUAGUAUUAGUGUAAGAUAUCUCAUUUUGUCUUGCAUGUUUCCUGAAUUGGAAGGGAGAAAGAAACUUUUGGGCAAGUAAAUUUUCAAAUGCGGUGCGCCCGCAUACUCAAACACAUCAGGCUUACUUACGUCUAUGAAAUUGGUAUCGACGGUGAGAACUGUCGAUAUAUCGUCAUUAUUGAAUGUUACGUUUUGUGCAGUGCCUUCGACCUUCACAUAUACUAUUUUGUUUUGCUCUUUAGAUACAUCGCUGUUUGUAUCGGCGUAAGCAAUUAUAUAGCUAUUCUGGUAACUACAUUCUUACAAUGUAAUGCAGAAUUCUUUCUAUCAAGUAUUCCAUAUAUAUAUUCUUUAUCAAACAUCUGAAUUUGAAUCCAAUUUUCAUCUGGAAUACUCUGAGGAUUGCCAUAUGGAGCCACAUAAGUUACAGAAUCCAACUUAAGGUAAUGUAGUAUAUUAUUCUGUAUAUUUUGGCAAGCAGUUGUUGCAUUGUAUGCAUUGAGAAUAUCUUCUUUAAUAGUAAAUCGACAUUUGCUUCUCUUGUUUUGCCCAAACUGCACAAUUUUAUAUGACACAUUCGUCAAUAUACAAUGACCAUUUAUAUUGUCCGGAUGUAUUAAAAUAUUUUUGAUUCCAAAUGAAUUAUUGAACAAAUGCAUUGUGUGAUUAUUCUCAGCAGUUGAGAUAAGAAUCGGUAAAUUAGGAAUGUAACCAGGAUUUCCACUUAAUUUUAAAAUGUCCUCUUCUGGUUUGUUGCUCAGAUAAAAUGUAACCUUCACAUUCUGAUUAAUAAAUUGAAGAUUCAUAGUUAUUUUUUGAAUGUAAAGUUUUAUUUCUGCUUUAAUUAUUUUAGAAUCGAAGUAGUAAAAUGUAUAAUGAACUUUUGUUGCAAUAUUAUUGCAAUAACUUUCUGUACAAUAUGGUUCAUGACUACUUUUAUUGUAAGCAAUGCAUUCUAACUGGUCGCAAAUGUAUAAAGUCCAGUUAGUAUGAUGAACAGUCAUAUUCUGAAAAAAAUAAUGUUUAUUAAAUGUAUUGUGUUAAGAUAUCAAACAGUUGAUUGUUUUAUUAUAAUGUAGUGUUUGAAAUGGGCUUCUAUAGCUAAGAAAACUUACCUUAUCACUAGAAUUAGUUAAAUUUGUCAUUGGACUUAAUAUACUUCCUCCUUCCACAUUUUUCAACACUUGAAACAUAUGAAGAUCUUGCAAUUUUACAACACAUUUAACAUUUUCAUUUACAAGGAAUUUAAUUGUCUUCUUUCCAGAACAGUAAUGGUUUGUUACUAUAACUGGAAUAUCUAAAAAUGUUGAAGGUUGAGAUUAAAUAAUAUUUUAUAGAUAUUAUAUUCUGACGUUAAUGUUAAGCCUCACCUGCAUGGAAUAUGGAUCCAUUUCUAGAUAACCAUACAGGCUCAUUGUAUCUAUACAUAUUCCUCUUAAAUUCAUACAAAACCUCUUGCCUGUUGUGCUUAUGCCAUUUAGGAGACCUAUUAAUUGCUGCCUCAUCAAACUGUAAUAGAUUAUAAAUGAACCAUAUUAUUAUAUCUUUUAAAAAUAAAUAUAUGUAUUUGUUUUUACUAUAUUUACCUGUAUGUCUGUUAAGCGUUUAUCGGGUAAGUUAGUUUUAGAAAUACAAAAUAAAUUUUCUAAGAAAUU